rnacentral:rRNA from 1 species
GACGAACGCUGGCGGCGUGCCUAAUACAUGCAAGUCGAACGCUUCUUUCCUCCCGAGUGCUUGCACUCAAUUGGAAAGAGGAGUGGCGGACGGGUGAGUAACACGUGGGUAACCUACCCAUCAGAGGGGGAUAACACUUGGAAACAGGUGCUAAUACCGCAUAACAGUUUAUGCCGCAUGGCAUAAGAGUGAAAGGCGCUUUCGGGUGUCGCUGAUGGAUGGACCCGCGGUGCAUUAGCUAGUAGGUGAGGUAACGGCUCACCAAGGCCACGAUGCAUAGCCGACCUGAGAGGGUGAUCGGCCACACUGGGACUGAGACACGGCCCAGACUCCUACGGGAGGCAGCAGUAGGGAAUCUUCGGCAAUGGACGAAAGUCUGACCGAGCAACGCCGCGUGAGUGAAGAAGGUUUUCGGAUCGUAAAACUCUGUUGUUAGAGAAGAACAAGGACGUUAGUAACUGAACGUCCCCUGACGGUAUCUAACCAGAAAGCCACGGCUAACUACGUGCCAGCAGCCGCGGUAAUACGUAGGUGGCAAGCGUUAUCCGGAUUUAUUGGGCGUAAAGGGAACGCAGGCGGUCUUUUAAGUCUGAUGUGAAAGCCUUCGGCUUAACCGGAGUAGUGCAUUGGAAACUGGGAGACUUGAGUGCAGAAGAGGAGAGUGGAACUCCAUGUGUAGCGGUGAAAUGCGUAGAUAUAUGGAAGAACACCAGUGGCGAAAGCGGCUCUCUGGUCUGUAACUGACGC